rnacentral:rRNA from 1 species
CGGCCCAAGAGAUCGGGAUAACACCUGGAAACAGAUGCUAAUACCGGAUAACAACAGAUGAUGCCUAUCAACUGUUUAAAAGAUGGUUCUGCUAUCACUCUUGGAUGGACCUGCGGUGCAUUAGCUAGUUGGUAGGGUAACGGCCUACCAAGGCGAUGAUGCAUAGCCGAGUUGAGAGACUGAUCGGCCACAUUGGGACUGAGACACGGCCCAA